rnacentral:rRNA from 1 species
UAGGGAAUCUUCCGCAAUGGACGAAAGUCUGACGGAGCAACGCCGCGUGAGUGAAGAAGGAUUUCGGUUCGUAAAACUCUGUUGUUAGGGAAGAAAAAAUGUAUAGUAACUAUAUACAAAAGAGACGGUACCUAACCAGAAAGCCACGGCUAACUACGUGCCAGCAGCCGCGGUAAUACGUAGGUGGCAAGCGUUGUCCGGAAUUAUUGGGCGUAAAGCGCGCGCAGGUGGUUUAGAAAGUCUGAUGUGAAAGCCCACGGCUCAACCGUGUAGGGUCAUUGGAAACUAAUAAACUUGAGUGCAGGAGGGGAAAGUGGAAUUCCUAGUGUAGCGGUGAAAUGCGUAGAGAUUAGGAGGAACACCGGUGGCGAAAGCGGCUUUUUGGCCUGCAACUGACACUGAGGCGCGAAAGCGUGGGGAGCAAACAGG